rnacentral:lncRNA from 1 species
CUUUUUUUUUUUCUUUUUUUUUUGGUGCAAGGGACUGAACUCAGAACCUCACCGUUACCAGAUCCUCUUUAGUGGUGAGUUCAAAGAGUCCAUGUGGUUGAGUAUCAGAGUGUUCCAUCUCAUUUCCCUUUGGGGUUGCUGUAGGUGAUUCUGGAAGUCUGGUUCUGAGGCUUGUUUACCUACCUUCUCAUUUUGAUGCGGGGGGCGGGGGUGUUGUUCCUGGCACCCGCAGUGCUCACCUCCUCUCUGCUGGGAGCUCUGGCACGCCUACCCAGAAGCCUCCUCUAUGCUGGGAGCCGUGGCACCCUGACCCGGAAGUCUCCUCUGCACUGGGAGCCAUGGUGUGCUGACCUGGAAGUCUCUUCUGUGCUGGGAGCUGUGGCAUGCUGACCUGGAAGCCUCCUCUAUUCUGGGAGCCACGGCACAACAACCCGGAAGCCUCCUCUACGCUGGGAGCCAUGGCACGCCUACCUGGAAGUCUCCUCCUGCCUAGGAACCAUGGCACGCUGACCCUGAAGUCUCCUCUGGGCUGGGAGCUGUGGCACACUUACCUGGAAGCCCCCUCUACACUGGGAGCCAUGACACACCUACCCAGAAGCCUCCUCCUGCCUGGGAGCCAUGGCGUGCUGACCUGGAAGUCUCCUCUGGGCUGGGAGCCAUGGCACACCAACCUGGAGGUCUCCUCUCCCUACACAAUAUAUCUUUGUUUUUGUUUUUGUUUUUUUCUACACAAUAUAUCUUGAUUCAUCUUUUUCUCCCAAUCCCCUUCCCUCCCGUCAACCUUCCAUUCUCCCUUAUUUACAAAAGUUGUUUCUGUUUUUUCCUUCUUUUCUCAUUUUUUUCACCUUUUCCCUUCCUUUCCCCCCUCUUCCCUUCACAGUUUCUCUUUUCCUUUGAACAGUUUUUUCCUAUUUUAUAUUACCUAUUAUACCAAAAGUGCAUGAGAAAUAGUGCAAAGAAUCAAUAAUUGGGAUGUCAUCCUGUUAAGAAG